rnacentral:tRNA from 1 species
GUUUGAUUAGUUUAAUAAGAAUAAUAAUUUGUGGAAUUAUAGGUGUACAAUUGUAUUUAAACC